UACGAAGGGGGCUAGCGUUGCUCGGAAUCACUGGGCGUAAAGGGUGCGUAGGCGGGUCUUUUAAGUCAGGGGUGAAAUCCUGGAGCUCAACUCCAGAACUGCCUUUGAUACUGAAGAUCUUGAGUUCGGGAGAGGUGAGUGGAACUGCGAGUGUAGAGGUGAAAAUUCGUAGAUAUUCGCAAGAACACCAGUGGCGAAGGCGGCUCACUGGCCCGGUACUGACGCUGAGGUGCGAAAGCGUGGGGAGCAACAGGG
rnacentral:rRNA from 1 species